rnacentral:misc_RNA from 1 species
GGCUUAUUACAACUUACCAAGAGGUAAAUGAUCAACUCUGAUCAAAUACAUGUUGCGAUGACGAAAUCGUGCGGGCUGGUAGCAAUACUAGCCUGCCAGAGCAAC